AGGCGGAGGUAAAUGACAAGCCUUUAGCUGCACCUAAGCAAUAUCCUUGUUUGGGCCUGCAAGAAGUAUCAACAAUGAAAAUCAUUGUGAUGGUCAUCAUGGCAGUGGUUAUUAUCAAUUCAUGCCCAUCUGUCCAUCCAAGGAAUAUCGAAGAGAAUGUAAUGCUAGUGAAAGACAUGCGCAAACUGACUUCUAGUUCUAUUAAUGGAAGGAGUACCCCUGCUGGUGAGGAAAUACAUCAUUCGUGUCCACUAGGGAACUACCCCUGCGAAGGGAUGUUCCAUAGUUCCAAGGAGAGCACAGAAGGUGGAGGAAACUAACUCCCACUGUUACCAUGGAAAAUAAAUUGAAGAUAAGUAAUAGUGUGAUAUCACGUAUGUGCUUGUUAUGUAAAUUGUAUCUUGCUUUGUAAAACUUAAUGUUCAAGUACGUGUAUAUUGUACUUCUGAAAUAUUAUAUUUAUAGAUACGAGUCUUAAAAAAUCAA